GAUGAACGCUGGCGGCGUGCCUAAUACAUGCAAGUCGAGCGAACGGACGAGAAGCUUGCUUCUCUGAUGUUAGCGGCGGACGGGUGAGUAACACGUGGAUAACCUACCUAUAAGACUGGGAUAACUUCGGGAAACCGGAGCUAAUACCGGAUGAUAUUUUGAACCGCAUGGUUCAAAAGAGAAUGACGGUCUUGCUGUCACUUAUAGAUGGAUCCGCGCUGCAUUAGCUAGUUGGUAAGGUAACGGCUUACCAAGGCAACGAUGCAUAGCCGAACUGAGAGGGUGAUCGGCCACACUGGAACUGAGACACGGUCCAGACUCCUACGGGAGGCAGCAGUAGGGAAUCUUCCGCAAUGGGCGAAAGCCUGACGGAGCAACGCCGCGUGAGUGAUGAAGGUCUUCGGAUCGUAAAACUCUGUUAUUAGGGAAGAACAUAUGUGUAAGUAACUGUGCACAUCUUGACGGUACCUAAUCAGAAAGCCACGGCUAACUACGUG
rnacentral:rRNA from 1 species